rnacentral:rRNA from 1 species
CUCGUUGGUGACCAGCGGAGGGAUCAUUACCGAGUUUACAACUCCCAAACCCCUGUGAACAUACCUAUACGUUGCCUCGGCGGAUCAGCCCGCGCCCCGUAAAAAGGGACGGCCCGCCCGAGGACCCCUAAACUCUGUUUUUAGUGGAACUUCUGAGUAAAACAAACAAAUAAAUCAAAACUUUCAACAACGGAUCUCUUGGUUCUGGCAUCGAUGAAGAACGCAGCAAAAUGCGAUAAGUAAUGUGAAUUGCAGAAUUCAGUGAAUCAUCGAAUCUUUGAACGCACAUUGCGCCCGCCAGUAUUCUGGCGGGCAUGCCUGUUCGAGCGUCAUUUCAACCCUCAAGCUCAGCUUGGUGUUGGGACUCGCGGUAACCCGCGUUCCCCAAAUCGAUUGGCGGUCACGUCGAGCUUCCAUAGCGUAGUAAUCAUACACCUCGUUACUGGUAAUCGUCGCGGCCACGCCGUAAAACCCCAACUUCUGAAUGUUGACCUCGGAUCAGGUAGGAAUACCCGCUGAACUUAAGCAUAUCAUAA